rnacentral:rRNA from 1 species
UACGUAGGGUGCAAGCGUUGUCCGGAAUUAUUGGGCGUAAAGAGCUCGUAGGCGGUCUGUCGCGUCUGCUGUGAAAACUCGGGGCUUAACCCCGGGCCUGCAGUGGGUACGGGCAGACUAGAGUGCGGUAGGGGAGACUGGAAUUCCCAGUGUAGCGGUGAAAUGCGUAGAUAUUGGGAGGAACACCAGUGGCGAAGGCGGCUCACUGGACCGGUACUGACGCUGAGGCGCGAAAGCGUGGGGAGCGAACAGG